rnacentral:sRNA from 1 species
ACUGGAUGCAGUGGUGCAUGUCUGCAGUCCCAGAUUCUCAGGAGGCUGAGACAGAAUCAUUUGAGCCCAGGAAAUUGGGGCUGUAUUAUGCUCUGCCUAUCAGUUGUUUGUACUAAGAGUCAGUAAUGGGAUUGUGCUUAUGAACAGCCACUGCACUGCAGCCUGUGUGACAUGGUGAGACCCGAUCCCUU